rnacentral:rRNA from 1 species
GAUCCGUAGUCGAAAGGGAAACAGCCCAGACCACCAGCUAAGGUCCCCAAAUAUAUGUUAAGUGGAAAAGGAUGUGGGGUUGCUUAGACAACCAGGAUGUUGGCUUAGAAGCAGCCACCAUUGAAAGAGUGCGUAAUAGCUCACUGGUCGAGUGACCCCGCGCCGAAAAUGUACCGGGGCUAAACAUAUUACCGAAACUGUGGAUGAACCUCUUUAGAGGUUCGUGGUAGGAGAGCGUUCUAAGGGCGGUGAAGUCAGACCGGAAGGACUGGUGGAGCGCUUAGAAGUGAGAAUGCCGGUAUGAGUAGCGAAAGAAGGGUGAGAAUCCCUUCCACCGAAUAUCUAAGGUUUCCUGAGGAAGGCUCGUCCGCUCAGGGUUAGUCGGGACCUCAGCCGAGGCCGAUAGGCGUAGGCGAUGGACAACAGGUAGAGAUUCCUGUACCAGUGCUAAUUGUUUAACAGAUGGGGUGACACAGAAGGAUAGGGAAUCGCACGAAUGGAAAUGUGCGUCCAAGCAGUGAGUGUGAGAAGUAGGCAA